AUUGAACGCUGGCGGCAUGCUUUACACAUGCAAGUCGAACGGUAACAGGGUGCUUGCACCGCUGACGAGUGGCGAACGGGUGAGUAAUGCGUCGGAACGUGCCGAGUAGUGGGGGAUAACGCAGCGAAUGUUGUGCUAAUACCGCAUACGUACUGAGGUAGAAAGUGGGGGACCUUCGGGCCUCACGCUAUUCGAGCGGCCGACGUCUGAUUAGCUAGUAGGUGAGGUAAAGGCUCACCUAGGCGACGAUCAGUAGCGGGUCUGAGAGGAUGAUCCGCCACACUGGGACUGGGACACGGCCCAGACUCCUACGGGAGGUAGCAGUGGGGAAUUUUGGACAAUGGGCGAAAGCCUGAUCCAGCCAUGCCGCGUGUGUGAAGAAGGCCUUAUGGUUGUAAAGCACUUUAAGCGAGGAGGAGGCUACUUUAGAUAAUACCUAGAGAUAGUGGACGUUACUCGCAGAAUAAGCACCGGCUAACUCUGUGCCAGCCGCCGCAGUAACAC
rnacentral:rRNA from 1 species